GAGUUUGAUCCUGGCUCAGAUUGAACGCUGGCGGCAUGCCUUACACAUGCAAGUCGAACGGCAGCACGGGAGCAAUCCUGGUGGCGAGUGGCGAACGGGUGAGUAAUAUAUCGGAACGUGCCCAGUCGUGGGGGAUAACGCAGCGAAAGCUGUGCUAAUACCGCAUACGAUCUCUGGAUGAAAGCGGGGGACUCGCAAGGGCCUCGCGCGAUUGGAGCGGCCGAUAUCAGAUUAGCUAGUUGGUGGGGUAAAAGCCCACCAAGGCGACGAUCUGUAGCUGGUCUGAGAGGACGACCAGCCACACUGGAACUGAGACACGGUCCAGACUCCUACGGGAGGCAGCAGUGGGGAAUUUUGGACAAUGGGCGCAAGCCUGAUCCAGCAAUGCCGCGUGCAGGAUGAAGGCCUUCGGGUUGUAAACUGCUUUUGUACGGAACGAAACGGUCUGCCCUAAUACGGUGGGCUAAUGACGGUGCCGUAAGAAUAAGCACCGGCUAACUACGUGCCAGCAGCCGCGGUAAUAC
rnacentral:rRNA from 1 species